GUCUAGAAAUAUGUUAUUUUUUCAAAAGAAAUCCGCGAGUGCGCACAGCUGCGCGUGUCCCCCGGGCGGAUGCAGGACGGAGCGAGAGACGCCAGCGCGGACUCAAGGGCGCGGGACGAUGGACUGAACCCCAGUGCAGAUGCACCCACCCGGGCACCGCGAGUGGGUGCCCCUGCUCAUCCUGGGCGCGUCGCGCCCUAAACCCGCGCGCGAUCGCGCUGCGCCGCUAUCCAGCAGAAGGUGGCGCUUCGACACCGCGCGGCACCGUGCACGUGGGCUCAUCCUCCGGUUCUUUUUCUCCCUCUUUCUAGAGCCCGGUCGCCGGGCCCUCCCUCCCCCCCUCCCCGCGCACCCGCAGGGUUUUGUCCCGUCUCUCCCCCUCUCGUUUUCCCUCCUGGAUCGCGCGCAUCUGCCGGUUCGGCUGGAGUAACGGUCUUCGGAGACCGCCGUGUCCGGGCGGCUCCGGAGCGGUUCGGAAAGGAGUUCACGGAUUCAGGCCGGAUCGGUGAAACAGCCCGGGACUCAGCAUCGCCGCCCCUCCCCCACUUUCUACUCCAUAGGCCUCCCCAACUCCCCGCGUCCCGCCUCCUCUGUCCAUCACCUACGCCCUCCUCCCCUGCAGCUCGGUCCUGAAACCCUAGCUCUGCCUCCCAGCACGCACCUUCUGGGUCAUUUGCUAUUUUAACCCAACGGUACAAACCAAAGCUAAAAUGAAGUGCACUCUCGUUUAAAGCGAAGAUAUUUCUUAUUUGCCUGCUAAGGCUGCCGCUGGAGCGGUGGCUCCUGCCUACUGGUUUUGCCGGGCUCCUUGGAAACUCGCUUCUCUUUGUGUUGUCUCUUACCCACCUAUGGCUCUUCUGAGGACAAUGAAACGAAGCCUUUCUGCUUUCUGUUUAACGUGGCUGCUCACCCUGUUUUCCUCAUACCUACCCACUGUCAGUUCUGGGGGCUGGUUCUUAAGAUCUACAGCCCCUCACCCCACCCGGAGUUGCUCACCCGAGAAAUCGGCCGCCCGGGACUAGUGGAAUUAUCUAAACAUAUUUCCUUUCAGGUUGGUGUACUGCACAGGGUACUACACUUCUCAUCUCCCACACAUCCCCACUCCGGACAUAGAAUGGUGCCAGGUCUUCAUAGGCCAUUUUAUUUUUAAAAAGGGGGGAGGGGUCCCUGUAUUUCACCCUUAUCGUAUUCACCCCAAAGAAAAGCACCGAUCCAAGCACGUGUAUUAUUGAAGUUAACCUCAGUCUUAAUAAUGUUGGCAUUUUAUUUUAAUGUUUAAGGCUAUUGGAACCUAAAAAAUUUACAUACUGGUUAACCUGAUGUCUGGAGAUGUAGAAAAACCCAUGUGGAGUGUAAAAAUCCAUCUUUGAGGCAAACCA
rnacentral:lncRNA from 1 species